rnacentral:misc_RNA from 1 species
AAAAAAUUAGAGUGAAAAAAUGGGAGAAGAAAUUAGUAACAAACAGAUCUUAUUAAAAGAUUAUGUAAAUGGAUUUCCAAAAGAAUCAGAUAUGGAAUUAAGAAUUAGUAGUAUGAAAUUGAAAGUUCCAGAAGAUUCCAAUAGUGUUUUGGUUAAAAAUCUUUAUUUAUCUUGUGAUCCAUAUAUGAGACCUCGUAUGAAGAAAACUGAAGGCAGUUAUACUGAUUCCUUUACUCCUGGCUCUCCUAUUGUGGGGUUUGGUGUGGCUAAAGUUGUGGAUUCAGCUCAUCCAAAGUUCAAGAAAGAUGAGUUAGUUUGGGGAAUAACUGGAUGGGAA